rnacentral:rRNA from 1 species
GCUGACGGUCAUACCACCCUGUCUGCGCCCGAUCUCGUCAGUUCUCGGAAGCUAAGCAGGGUCGGGCCUGGUUAGUA